ACUACGGGUGGCAGCAGUGGGGGAUAUUGCACAAUGGGGGGAACCCUGAUGCAGCGACGCCGCGUGGGUGAAGAAGCGCCUCGGCGCGUAAAGCCCUGUCAGCAGGGGAGCAAAUGACGGUACCUGAAGCAGACGCCCCGGCUAACUACGUGCCAGCAGCCGCGGUAAUACGGAGGGGGCAAGCGUUAUCCGGAUUUACUGGGGGUAAAGGGGGCGAAGUCGGCGAUGCAAGCCAGGAGGGAAAGCCCGGGGCCCAACCCCGGGACUGCUCUUGGAACUGCGUGGCUGGAGUGAAGGAGGGGCAGGCGGAAUGCCUGGUGUAGCGGUGAAAGGCGUAGAUAUCAGGAGGAACACCGGUUGCGAAGGCGGCCUGCUGGA
rnacentral:rRNA from 1 species